rnacentral:lncRNA from 1 species
UUGUUAUUAUUUUUAAAUAUGUGCAGGAAGACUGCUUCUAUGACCUUCCUUACAAUACCGGGUAUCAAAUUUUCGUGCUACGUUUACGAAAGACAAGGGACGAAAUUAUGAAGUGUACUCUCUCUAUAUAUGUAGAUAUAUACUUUGAUUGAAGAAAUGUUGUAGCUUUAGAUGGUUAAUUGUAAAGAUAAUGAAUGAUUAUGUAGUGGAUGAUUUUAUUAAGUUAAUAAUAUUUUAGUUUUUUGUAUUUUUGCCAAUAUUUGCUAUGGGG